UCAGAGGAGGACGGGCCAUGGAAGGAGUUGGGACUUUCCCCCUUUUGGCCCUUGGCACCUUCAUCAGAACUUAGCCUGGGACUCCUUUCUCCGCUGACCUGGGGCAGCCAGUCUUGCAACCAAAGCCCUCUGCUGAAACGCUCCGUGCAGCCCUGUCUACUGAGGGCUCAGGAUCUUCACCUUGCUACUUGACCAGUCCUGGGACUCCAUCCUCAGCUCACUACAGGCAACACCCUUCAAAGCAAGAUCCUUGCUUCAAUGGGACCUCAGAUUUGGACAUUCAGGUUUCUGGGGCUCCACUAUGCACAGCUGGGGCUUCCCCCACCAGACCAAGAUUCUCCCUUCCCUGAGACCCUCCAGGCCGAAAUGACAGUCACCUCAACCUGACAGCUCUUCCUGAGCUUCCCAAGUCACAGGAGAGGCUUUUGGUUUUGGACCAUGAGAAUGGCUUACAUAUUCAAAAGGUUGGAUUUGGGAAGCAAUGCUAAGCAGUGGAAUGGACAUCGACAUAGAGAGAUCAGCUCCACACUUAUACUCUGCCACUCAACUUCCCCAUGUGACUUGAGGAUCACUCUAACUCCAAAACAUAGCAAGCUCGCGGAACAUCAGGGUUCAUGCAAAGUAUUCCAAGGAGCCCCUUGAAGCAACAGAAUGGAUUGCUCUUCUAUGGUGGAAUGGCACCCUGGAUGAUUAAAACCGUAGCAGCAAACAAAACCUCCAUCAAGUAAGAAUUCAGAGUGUGAGAUAUCACGCACAGCCACGCGUGGAUCUUUAUAUACGUGUCAAUGUGUUUGAUUGUAUUUUUGCUUUCAAAGUAUGUAUUGAGCAUUUCUUCUAGGUCCUCAGUAACAUCUUUUUAAAAAAAAAAUAAAUGCUUAGGGAAUUGUUUUAUAUUAAACUCGCUUCCAUUGUUAUCAACUUGGAGAGUGUCCCUCAUACAUGGAGCUCUCUCACAGGAUUGACUUUUCAUAUUAGGAGUGUAAAUAAAAGUUGUUCCUUGGUUUGUGUAUUACAGAUAUUCCUGAAAACAGAGUCAAGUUAUAUUUCUAAAGUACUAGCGUCUGCUUAAAGAAAUGACAAGGUGAAGUCUUUCACAAAGUAAGCAUUCAAUGUAUGAUUUCUCUGCUAUGUAAAUCUGGUUGUUCAUACAGUUUCUAUGACAUAAUUGGCCACGAC
rnacentral:lncRNA from 1 species